GGGUUGGCUUAGUGGAUAAGAGUGCUUGCUUUACAAGCAUGAAGAUCUGAAUUCAAACUCCAGCACCCA
rnacentral:tRNA from 1 species